GACGAACGCUGGCGGCGUGCCUAAUACAUGCAAGUCGAGCGGACUUUCAAGAAGCUUGCUUUUUGAAAGUUAGCGGCGGACGGGUGAGUAACACGUGGGCAACCUGCCUGCAAGACGGGGAUAACUCCGGGAAACCGGGGCUAAUACCGGAUAAUAUCUUCCUUCGCAUGAAGGAAGGUUGAAAGGCGGCGCAAGCUGCCGCUUGCAGAUGGGCCCGCGGCGCAUUAGCUAGUUGGUGAGGUAACGGCUCACCAAGGCGACGAUGCGUAGCCGACCUGAGAGGGUGAUCGGCCAAACUGGGACUGAGACACGGCCCAGACUCCUACGGGAGGCAGCAGUAGGGAAUCUUCCGCAAUGGACGAAAGUCUGACGGAGCAACGCCGCGUGAGCGAAGAAGGUCUUCGGAUCGUAAAGCUCUGUUGUCAGGGAAGAACAAGUACCGUUCGAACAGGGCGGUACCUUGACGGUACCUGACCAGAAAGCCACGGCUAACUACGUG
rnacentral:rRNA from 1 species